ensembl:snoRNA SNORD83 Small nucleolar RNA SNORD83
GCCACAUGAUGACUAGAGAAGCUGCAGCAGCCUUCGGGCCGUGGCGACCUUUUAUCUAUCACCCUUGUCUGAUGGCC